rnacentral:rRNA from 1 species
UACAGAGGUCCCAAGCGUUGUUCGGAUUCAUUGGGCGUAAAGGGUGCGUAGGCGGCGCGGUAAGUCGGGUGUGAAAGCCCCGGGCUCAACCUGGGAAUGCCAUUCGAGACUGCAUAGCUAGGGUGCGGAAGAGGGAAGCGGAAUUUCCGGUGUAGCGGUGAAAUGCGUAGAUAUCGGAAGGAACACCAGUGGCGAAAGCGGCUUCCUGGUCCAGCACCGACGUUCAGGCACGAAAGCGUGGGGAGCAAACAGG